GAAGAAAGAUGACUGCGGCCUAAGCGGAGGCCCUUUGGAGCCAUAGCGGGUGCUCAGGCAGCGCUCGCGGAUCCUGGGUGAGGGGAGGGAGGCCGCUCCUGGCCACACUUGCAGCCUGUCCCGCAGCGCAGACCCCAGCGGCCAUGGCCUCCAGGCAGGCUCCCCUCUGUGGCCUGGCUCCUUGCUGCCUCUGGCUCCGGGUCAUUGUCCUUCUGAUGGAUGCGUCUGCCCGGCCUGCCAACCACUCGUCUGCUCGAGAGAGAGCAGGUAAUAGGGAGGAAAACGAGAUCCUGCCCCUGGACCACCUGAAUGGGGUGAAGCUGGAGAUGGACGGGCACCUCAACAAAGAUUUCCACCAGGAGGUCUUCCUGGGCAAGGACAUGGAUGACUUUGAGGAGGACACAGAGCCUCGGAAGAGCUGGAGGAAGCUGAUGAUCAUCUUCUCCAAGGUGGAUUUGAACACUGACAGGAGGAUCAGCGCCAAGCAGAUGCAGAACUGGAUCAUGCAGAAGACGGCUGAGCACUUCCAGGAGGCUGUUGCCGAGAGCAGGGCGCACUUCUGAGCCGUGGACCCCGAUGGUGAUGGCCACGUAUCUUGGGAUGAGUACAAGGUGAAGUUUUUGGCGACCAAAGGCCACAAUGAGAGAGAAGUUGCUGAAAAGAUAAAGAAUAAGUGGGACCUGAACAUCGAUGAGUAGACAUAGGAAGUCCUGGAGAACCUCAAAGACCGCUGGUAUCAGGCGGACAACCCGUCCCCAGACCUGCUGCUGACAGAGAGCGAGUUCCUAUCGUUCCUGCACCCUGAGCACAGCCAUGGCAUGCUGCAGUUCAUGGUCAGGGAGAUCAUCCGGGACCUGGACCAGGAUGGUGACAAGAAGCUCUCGCUGUCUGAGUUCAUCUCUCUGCCCGUGGGCACCGUGGAGAACCAGCAGGGCCAGGAUGUUGACGACAGCUGGGUGCGGGAUAGGAAGAGAAAGUUUGAGGAGCUGAUCGACGCCAACCACGAUGGGAUCGUAACCAUGGCGGAGUUGGAGGACUACAUGGACCCCAUGAAUGAGUUCAGCGCCCUCAAUGAGGCCAAGCAGAUGAUCGCUAUCGCUGACGAGGACCAGAAUCACUACCUGGAGCCCGAGGAGGUGCUGAAGUACAGUGAGUUCUUCACGGGCAGCAGGCUGGUGGACUGUGCCCGCAGCGUGCACGAGGAGUUCUGAGCCACCGCUGCAUCCCCCGCCCCCCUCCCCAGCCCCCCGCAGCACCUCGCAGGCUGCCCGCACUCUGAUUCCAGUGUAAUCGCUGCAUCUCACUUCUGAGAACUCAGAGCCCU